rnacentral:ncRNA from 1 species
UCCGGGUAUCCGGGAUGACGUUCUGCCAAAAGGGAAUCCGGUGAGAAUCCGGGACAGUACCCGCUGCUGUAAGUCCCAGGACAUUGCGCUGACGCGCAACCAAGGUCGGUUAAAUCUGUGGCAUUGGAGCAUUGCUCCGAGAAGCCGUUAGCCGAGCCGGGACAAGUCAGAAGACCUGCCGUUGCAAC